GGCUUUGAAGUAUAUAUUACGUUGAAUUGCAAAUUCAAAGAAACAGUUAAAUACUGUCAGGGCUU
rnacentral:tRNA from 1 species